UGUUCUGCAGAAUGCUGCUACGUUAACAACUACUAGCUAAUAACACUACUACUGAAUUGACUAUCACAAGUCAUUCCCCAACAUUUACUAAUACUAAUAUUUUUUCUCUAUAUAGUUUUAAGACAAAAUUCCGAAGCACUUUCCAACGCAUUUAAUGGUGCUGUGAGGGCACUACAACACUUACGAAGCUACCAUUUACAAAUCGUGACAAGGUAUAUCGUUAUACAAUCGAACAAAGACAAAAAUAAAGCUUUUUCUAAUCUAGGAAAAACAGGAACAGGAGGAACAGAAUAUAUGCAAUUUUUAAAAGGUCUUCGAGAUUGUACUAAAGAAGCUCUACUAAACGAUAUAUGAUGGAAUACAACCGAGGUAAUUGAGUUACGUCACUAAUUUCAACAGUAAUUUCCAUCGUUUCCCACCCGGUUAGAACAAUCAUGGAGCAACGUACAGUGCAGACGCAUCGCUUGCGUACAAAUCUGGAACACCUCUGUUGAAUUUGAAAAAAAAAUCGUCGAUGUAAGCCCAAAAGCCAGGCCAACAUAAUGACUGAAUUUGAUUAUAUCAUUAUAUUGUAUUGUAUUUUGAAACAUUUAAUUUGCUACAGCUAUGCCUAUUACCAACAUUGAUUGUCAUAGAGAAGGCUUAGGCCUAAGGUGAUGCAAAUUAUAGAUGAAAUAAUUUAAAAAAAGUAAUAAAUACGCUGAUUUGUUUGAUUCAUCCUAUAUAAUAGUUAGUCACUAAACACUAUUAUAAUUAAAUGUAUGCGAACAGUAAUUGACACAAUGUUUAGAUGCCUGUACAUUCGAAAGGCAUGUUCAUUUCGCUACCCUUUAGGUGUACUGCCGAAUUCACCGUCAAAAGCGUCCCAAAGGAAAGUUUUCCUUGCUACGUGAUUUAUACCAUAAUCCUUCUCAUCAUUCCACCCCUAUAUUUACUUCAUGGGGCAUUGGCAAGUCCUCGAGUCCAGCCAGCAGGUUCUCCGCUGCUAAUACUGCCAUUAGAUCUCUUGAGUCUUCAGUUGCACUGCCAAUGUGGGGAAGAACAACUACAAAAAUAACAAAAAUAUAGUGGUAUUGAUUGGUGACGAAAUUUCUAGAUAACAUGUAAGAUACAAUAGCGAUCAUUUUAUGAACAGAUGGUUACACACCACAUAGUGUUGGUCAUAGAAUACGAAGAGGGUAAACAAAUAUGACAAAAAUAAUAAAAUAGUUAUUACUAUAAUUCCAUUUUGUGAAAUACAAAUAAAAAUAAUUCCA